UCUUGUCCAAACAGCUAAUAUGGUGUUUAAAAUAACCAGUGUAUUUAAUCACAGACAUGUAUGUGUAACCAUAAACCUUAACGUGAUACAAAAGUCAGCAAGGUUAAUGCAUAGACUGGAAGACAUAAUGGCAGCAUUUGGCUUGUAUAAUUUGUAAUCUGAUUAUUUAGUUCAUUGGAUAUAGAGCCAAUAUGUCUCCAAGUCAGUAUUGUUUUCUGCUUUCAUGUUCUAAACACAAUUGCAUAAAUGCACAUGUGUUGCCAUUAACCAUAAUAUACCAUAUAAAUUUGUAUAUCCAUUGAAAUAUGUGUAGAUUUUUGCUUCCUGAAUCAGCGUUUCAUUCUAUAA
rnacentral:lncRNA from 1 species